rnacentral:lncRNA from 1 species
AUCGAUAAAAAAAAUGAAUGAAUGAUAUAAAAACCAUGAACACGUCUGAAUGCAUGGAGUGUACAUAUGGUAAGAAAAGAAAAAUGUGAUAAAAUAACAACAAAAAAUAGGGAAGGUUAAAUGGAGAACUAAUGAUUUUAUAUACACUACACUACAAAAGAUAUGGAAAGGGCAUUUACCCAAAUUAGAUGGAAGACAAUUAAUUAGAGGGAUUGAUAAGAGAUUAAGGAUAGAUAUAACCACCCCUAAGAAAAGGAUUUCCUCUUUUCUUCGUAUUCAUCCUUGCUUUCUCUACAAUUUGUUCAGUUGUGACAAAAUCUGUUAAUGGAGAAUUUCCCUCCCGCUACCUUCCUAAGCUUUUCGGGAAACAGGAGAACCAGCGCCCUCUUCCCUAAGUGCUGCUUGGCUGGAAGACUUGUCCCCACUACGAACAUUGUAUUUUUCAUAUACCUUCUCCCGGUUCUCUGACCACCAAAUCUCUGCUUGGUUCUCUCCGAAUUUCCUCCGGCUGCGAUUACAUUUACCAUUAAAGAGAGAUGUGAAAAUUAACGACUGCAUGAAAUACUAAAGAUCUUAGUAUAAAGGGAGCUGCAAACUUCCAAUCACCAAUAUAUUGGCCUAGUAAAAGAUAUUCAUGCAGAAUAUCACUAAGAUAUAGAAUUAUUAGCAAAGCAAUGACCUAAGAGUAAGAAGAUUAUAGUUAAAGUUCAUACUUUUUUAAAUUCCGCAAUGCAUAGUUAAAGUUCAUACUUCAUACUGUCUUAACCAACAAGUUGUUGGUCUAGUGAUAAGCAAGCUAGACCUUCAUAAGGGUGCGAACAUAAGCCCAAGAUUAUAGUUAAAGUUCACAUUAUUAGCAAAGUGAUUUAUUGGGAGAGACAAUUACAGUGUCCUGGACGGGGGGAGACAUCUGAGUCAAAGACCAACAAAGUUCAAACUAUUUUUAAAUUCUGCAAUAUACAGCCUAGGUUUGGCCGAUUUCUCAAACCUUAAGUUUGGGCUGUUUACAUGAUAUAUACCUUUUCUUAAGGAUUUAACCGUAAUUACUGUUCAUUGUUUUUAUUUUUUUACGCUUCCUGUUGAUUGUCGGUGGCCAAGAAGUAAAGCUAAUUUUGUGGGUUCAUAUGAUUUCACAUUCGUGCAAUCUUAUAGUCAUGAUUUUAUUAUAUCCCUCAUUUGACAGAGUUGCGUUAAAAUAAUGAUAUCUAAUUAGAAGUUACCUAUAUAAAUGUUAGUGCUAAGAAUAACCACAUGAAUUACGAGUGAUUUAAUACUUCAUCCCUUAAAACAAGUAGUUAUGUGUUUGAUUCUCAACUUUAGCCAAUGGAAAAAAACUUUGUCCAAUCUCCUAUUGCUUAGUACAUUAAUAGUUAUCGACCGAGGGAUACACUAACCCGGUUUAGGUACUAAAGCCUGACAACGAGUAAAUUAUGCUUAUGUAAAAAAAAUAGUAAAUUAUGCGAUAGACAUGUAUGCAUGGGAUAUAUAGUAAAUAGUGAUUGUCAUAUGUAUAUUAAACUAAUAUAUAGUUCUUCAUAAUUUCACAGCACAGUUUCAUCCAUCUAGAGUUUCACUUCGAUUAGAUCAAAUGAUCUAUAGUAACAUUGCACCAAAUAGCAGCAUUUAUAGUUUUUAAAUUUGUCUCUUGAAAAAGAUAAGAUACACGUGAUAUUACUAAAUGGGAACCAUUUAUUUUCCUUCAAAAUAAGGCACUGAAAUGAUCAACCAAAUGUUCAACCAAGCACAGUAUUAUCGAUAAAAAAAAUGAAUGAAUGAUAUAAAAACCAUGAACACGUCUGAAUGCAUGGAGUGUACAUAUGGUAAGAAAAGAAAAAUGUGAUAAAAUAACAACAAAAAAUAGGGAAGGUUAAAUGGAGAACUAAUGAUUUUAUAUACACUACACUACAAAAGAUAUGGAAAGGGCAUUUACCCAAAUUAGAUGGAAGACAAUUAAUUAGAGGGAUUGAUAAGAGAUUAAGGAUAGAUAUAACCACCCCUAAGAAAAGGAUUUCCUCUUUUCUUCGUAUUCAUCCUUGCUUUCUCUACAAUUUGUUCAGUUGUGACAAAAUCUGUUAAUGGAGAAUUUCCCUCCCGCUACCUUCCUAAGCUUUUCGGGAAACAGGAGAACCAGCGCCCUCUUCCCUAAGUGCUGCUUGGCUGGAAGACUUGUCCCCACUACGAACAUUGUAUUUUUCAUAUACCUUCUCCCGGUUCUCU